UACGUAGGUUGCGAGCGUUAAUCGGAAUUACUGGGCGUAAAGCGUGCGCAGGCGGUUUUGUAAGUCUGUCGUGAAAGCCCCGGGCUCAACCUGGGAAUUGCGAUGGAGACUGCAAGGCUUGAAUCUGGCAGAGGGGGGUAGAAUUCCACGUGUAGCAGUGAAAGGCGUAGAUAUUGGGAAGAACACCUGAGGCGAAGGCGGGUUGCUGGGCUGAUACUGACGCUGAGGCGCGAAAGCCAGGGGAGCAAACGGG
rnacentral:rRNA from 1 species